GCUUGGAUGGCUCAGUUGGUUAGAGCGCAGGUCUCAUACUAGAGUAUGACGGUCGUGUUGGCCGGCAAUCCUGAGGUCGAGGGUUCGACCCCCUCUCCGAGCA
rnacentral:tRNA from 1 species